rnacentral:tRNA from 1 species
AUUUAUAGUAGUUAAAAGAUAACAAAGGACUUAAAAUCCUUUAUUGAAGGUGAAACCCCUUCCUAUAAUUA